rnacentral:piRNA from 1 species
UUGGACCGGAGAUAACAGCUGUCAC